UACGGAGGGGGCUAGCGUUGUUCGGAAUACUGGGCGUAAAGCGUGCGCAGGCGGUUCGUUGUGUCGGCGGUGAAAGCCCCGGGCUCAACCUGGGAAUGGCCGUUGAAACUGGCGAACUGGAGUGUGGCAGAGGGGGUGGAAUUCCGCGUGUAGCAGUGAAAUGCGUAGAGAUGCGGAGGAACACCGAUGGCGAAGGCAGCCCCCUGGGCUGACACUGACGCUCGAGGCACGAAAGCGUGGGGAGCAAACAGG
rnacentral:rRNA from 1 species